rnacentral:rRNA from 1 species
AAGAGACAGCAGCAGCCACGGUAACACGUAGGUGGCGAGCGUUGUCCGGAAUUAUUGGGCGUAAAGGGAGCGCAGGCGGGCGAGUAAGUCUUUCUUAAAAGUGCGGGGCUCAACCCCGUGAGGGGAGAGAAACUACUCAUCUUGAGUGCAGGAGAGGAAAGCGGAAUUCCCAGUGUAGCGGUGAAAUGCGUAGAUAUUGGGAGGAACACCAGUGGCGAAGGCGGCUUUCUGGACUGUAACUGACGCUGAGGCUCGAAAGCCAGGGGAGCGAACGGGAUUAGAUACCCCCGUAGUCCCUGUCUCUUAUACA